rnacentral:rRNA from 1 species
UACGUAGGGUGCAAGCGUUGUCCGGAAUUAUUGGGCGUAAAGAGCUCGUAGGCGGUUUUGUCGCGUCUGCUGUGAAAACCCGAGGCUCAACCUCGGGCCUGCAGUGGGUACGGGCAGACUAGAGUGGCGGUAGGGGAGAUUGGAAUUCCUGGUGUAGCGGUGGAAUGCGCAGAUAUCAGGAGGAACACCAAUGGCGAAGGCAGAUCUCUGGGCCGUAACUGACGCUGAGGAGCGAAAGCAUGGGGAGCGAACAGG